rnacentral:rRNA from 1 species
UUACGCUGUUAUCCCUAAGGUAACUUUUUCUUUUGCUCAGAACUUUCUGGGUCUAUUAGACUCAAUUCAUUUAUAUUACAAUCUCUCUGUUGUAAAAAAAGAGGAGGUUGCCCCAACCAAACCUAGGUAAAGCUCUAUAGGGUCUUCUCGUCCUACUAAUUAAUUAAGGCCUCUUCACCCUAAAAUCAAUUUCAAGUCAAAUAAAGAGAGACAGUCUCUCUGUCGUCUAGCCGUUGAUACUAGCCUGCAAUUAACAGGCGAAUGAUUAUGCUACCUUUGCACAGUCAGUAAUACUGCAGCCGUUUAACUAUUGUCACCG